rnacentral:lncRNA from 1 species
AAAACUAAAAGUUAAGAGUUGAAAAGAUCUGACCAAUGAGAUACAAUCCAAUAGACAAGAAUGUCAUAUAGAAACCCACUUUUCCUUUGGACUUUAAAUCAAGCAAUAUCAAUAAGCAAGUAGCAAAGUGAAGAGCAAGGCAUCAAAUAAAGAUAGCCACAUCCAAGCUAGCAAAUUCAUAGUGUUCUUCUUAUUCUUACCAUGUAUCAGAUGACAUACUCCUUGAAUGGCUCAGAAUAAGGCAUUAGACACAGAUUUAAAAUAACAUUUGCA